rnacentral:rRNA from 1 species
GACGAACGCUGGCGGCGUGCUUAACACAUGCAAGUCGAACGGAAAGGCCCUGCUUUUGUGGGGUGCUCGAGUGGCGAACGGGUGAGUAACACGUGAGUAACCUGCCCUUGACUUUGGGAUAACUUCAGGAAACUGGGGCUAAUACCGGAUAGGAGCUCCUGCCGCAUGGUGGGGGUUGGAAAGUUUCGGCGGUUGGGGAUGGACUCGCGGCUUAUCAGCUUGUUGGUGGGGUAGUGGCUUACCAAGGCUUUGACGGGUAGCCGGCCUGAGAGGGUGACCGGCCACAGUGGGACUGAGAUACGGCCCAGACUCCUACGGGAGGCAGCAGUGGGGAAUAUUGCACAAUGGGCGGAAGCCUGAUGCAGCAACGCCGCGUGCGGGAUGACGGCCUUCGGGUUGUAAACCGCUUUCGCCUGUGACGAAGCGUGAGUGACGGUAAUGGGUAAAGAAGCACCGGCUAACUACGUG